rnacentral:rRNA from 1 species
ACUCUCAGUUCGGAUUGUAGGCUGAAACUCGCCUACAUGAAGCUGGAGUUACUAGUAAUCGCAGAUCAGAAUGCUGCGGUGAAUGCGUUCCCGGGUCUUGUACACACCGCCCGUCACACCACGGGAGUUGGAGACGCCCGAAGCCGAUUAUCUAACCUUUUGGAAGAAGUCGUCGAAGGUGGAAUCAAUAACUGGGGUGAAGUCGUAACAAGGUAGCCGUAUCGGAAGGUGCGGCUGGAUCACCUCCUUUCUAAGGAGA